rnacentral:misc_RNA from 1 species
GAUGAAGAACGCAGCGAAAUGCGAUAAGUAGUGUGAAUUGCAGAAUUCAGUGAAUCAUCGAAUCUUUGAACGCACAUUGCGCCCUUUGGUAUUCCAAAGGGCAUGCCUGUUCGAGCGUCAUUUGUACCCUCAAGCUUUGCUUGGUGUUGGGCGUCUUGUCUCUAGCUUUGCUGGAGACUCGCCUUAAAGUAAUUGGCUGCCGGCCUACUGGUUUCGGAGCGCAGCACAAGUCGCACUCUCUAUCAGCAAAGGUCUAGCAUCCAUUAAGCCUUUUUUUCAACUUUUGACCUCGGAUCAGGUAGGGAUACCCGCUGAACUUAAGCAUAUCAAUAAGCGGAGGA